GUAAAGCUGAAGAUAAAAGCUCCCGAUGCUAUUCUUUCUCUUUAACUUAAACAGAGAAGUCACCUUGUGACCAAGAGGUAACAAGUCUGACAGCAAAAAGCCAAGACGCUUAGGAAGUGAGAGGGCAAAUGAAGAGAACCGUGUCUUUGAUGGCAUCACUGAGCUAUGGGAACAACUCCAGGACCACCUACAUCCAGACUACUGGUUAGGUAAACAAUAAAUGUCUUUAUGGCUUAAGUCCCUGUUACUUGCCACCAAAAGCAUUCUUCAGCAAUCCAGAAAGUGACGUCUGGGAUGCAGGCACACUGCUGGCUGGAGAAUGCGGAACAAAGAUAAAAUUGUCAGAACAUCCUGUCUCCACCUACACCAGGAAGGUCAAGUCUAAGAUGCUUGUCCAAGGGCUCAGGCAAUCAGAAGAUUGGAAGCAACGUAUUAAUAAGAGAACAUGCCCCGAAGCUCUGGCCCAUGAAAACAGCUCCUGAAUCACAAUGUAGCCACAACCCGAAGUUCACCGUGGACAGAAAGAACCAGCUAUACCUGCCACCUGAAAAAGAUGGAUGCUUCUUGAGAGCUAAGUGACCAAAGUGACCAGCAGAAUGUCUCGCCCCGAAGAAAAAGGUUCUUUUAGUGGCCUGCCAGAAAGGAGGUAGUGAUAUUGACAUGCACUGCACAGAAUCUUUUCCUGUGUCAUUCAUAACCUGAUCAAGUUGGACAUGGAAACCUUUUCAGCAUGGCUGUGUUAAUGUUUGAGGAGAUCCUUCUUGGCAUCUGAAUCUUUCUUAAAGUGUUGCAACCUGUUGGACUCUCCUUAGCAAAGUUAAAAUAGGGCAAUUUGUUUUUGACUUCUGUUUUUCACUUCAUUCUCAGAGGAUAGUCCAUAGCACACGUGAUUGAUUCAAAAUGGAUUUGAGGGUGACAAAGUAACCACUACAGGUGGGAUGCAGGAGAGGACAGUGAAGACGACGGAGGAGAAGAAAUGAUAUGGGGCAGACAAGAGGGCACUGGAAGAUUAACAGAUACUACUGAUGCUCUUAACAAAAUCGUUCUGGGAAAAAAGUUAGAAAAUGUCUUCGUGCAUACAGUGUAAUACAGAUUAAGCAAUUUAUGAUCUGAAUGUCUGCAGAGAAGGAUGACUUUUUAUUUUUCUGAUAAGAAUUAUAUAGGUGUAUGCAAAUGAAUACAGGCAAAACUGUAAAAAUAUACACACAUUCAUGGAUAUGCCAUUGUGUGUGCAUCUGGGUGCACAAACAUGCAUAUGUGCACCUUAAAUAAAUGAAUCCAUGUGCAAAGGAA